rnacentral:rRNA from 1 species
GACGAACGCUGGCGGCGUGCUUAACACAUGCAAGUCGAACGGAAAGGCCCUGCUUUUGUGGGGUGCUCGAGUGGCGAACGGGUGAGUAACACGUGAGUAACCUGCCCUUGACUUUGGGAUAACUUCAGGAAACUGGGGCUAAUACCGGAUAGGAGCUCCUGCUGCACGGUGGGGGUUGGAAAGUUUCGGCGGUUGGGGAUGGACUCGCGGCUUAUCAGCUUGUUGGUGGGGUAGUGGCUUACCAAGGCUUUGACGGGUAGCCGGCCUGGGGGGGUGACCGGCCACAUUGGGCCUGAGAUACGGCCCAGACUCCUACGGGAGGCAGCAGUGGGGAAUAUUGCACAAUGGGCGGAAGCCUGAUGCAGCAACGCCGCGUGCGGGAUGACGGCCUUCGGGUUGUAAACCGCUUUCGCCUGUGACGAAGCGUGAGUGACGGUAAUGGGUAAAGAAGCACCGGCUAACUACGUG